rnacentral:rRNA from 1 species
CCUACGGGAGGCAGCAGUGGGGAAUAUUGGACAAUGGGGGAAACCCUGAUCCAGCGACGCCGCGUGAGUGAAGAAGUAUUUCGGUACGUAAAGCUCUAUCAGCAGGAAAGAAAAUGACGGUACCUGACUAAGAAGCCCCGGCUAACUACGUGCCAGCAGCCGCGGUAAUACGGAGGGGGCAAGCGUUAUCCGGAUUUACUGGGUGUAAAGGGAGCGUAGACGGCAGCGCAAGUCUGGAGUGAAAUGCCGGGGGCCAACCCCGGAACUGCUCUGGAAACUGUGACGCUGGAGUGCAGGAGAGGUAAGCGGAAUUCGUGGUGUAGCGGUGAAAUGCGUAGAUAUCAGGAGGAACACCGGCGGCGAAGGCGGCUUACUGGACUGUAACUGACGUUGAGGCUCGAAGGCGUGGGGAGCAAACAGGAUUAGAUACCCGGGUAGUC